rnacentral:lncRNA from 1 species
AAAAAGCAGAGCAACUUUAUAUCUAAAAUACGACCGUCGAAUUGAAGCGGUCGCUGGAUCACUUUAACGAUUUCGCGAGCAAAAGGUAACAAGACACCGACUGUACAAAAAGGGAUACAAUGAGGAGAAUUAAUAAGAUGUCAAAAGUGAAUAGUGCUAAUCGUAAGGAAGUGUUAUGCGAUGGAAAUGAUUUGUCGGAGGUUCGUGUAGAUAGUGACCGAGAGCCAAAGAUUGAUAGUGUGGAUAAGAGUAAUAAAGGUUCUGUUUGUGAGAAUAUUGGUGAUGUUAGGAUCGAAAAGAAACGGUUAAACAUGUUGGAUCAAAGAUGCGAAGAGAAGGAAACUGAUAAGAGAGUUAAUAACGGAGAAAUUUGUGGUGACACAAAAAAUGAGAGCCAGUAGACUAAGGCUUCCAACCAAAUGGGUGGAGAAUGUAGAAAGAAAAGGAAAUUGAUGAAAAUAUGUACAACAGAACAAUACCCAUGUGUAACUUGGGAAAGAAUAUUGUUUUAUGAGUACGGUUAAUAUUUAAAUUGUUUAAUAUAAUACGUUAUGAUUAG